rnacentral:rRNA from 1 species
UACGUAGGGGGCUAGCGUUAUCCGGAAUUACUGGGCGUAAAGGGUGCGUAGGUGGUUUCUUAAGUCAGAGGUGAAAGGCUACGGCUCAACCGUAGUAAGCCUUUGAAACUGGGAAACUUGAGCGCAGGAGAGGAGAGUGGAAUUCCUAGUGUAGCGGUGAAAUGCGUAGAUAUUAGGAGGAACACCAGUUGCGAAGGCGGCUCUCUGGACUGUAACUGACGCUGAGGCUCGAAAGCGUGGGGAGCAAACAGG